CGCCCUAAUAGUAUAAAUUUGCAACGAGUACUUUUUCUCAUUUUAUCGAACAAAGAGUAAAAGCUAAUUAUAUUGUCCUAUUAUGCCCCGAGAGUGUAAAUUUGGAAAGAAUUGAUGUCAACGUUCACAAGAACCAAAAUCGGAACAACAUUAGACUACACAGUUGCGCCCUAACAGUAUAACUUUGCAACGAGUAUUUUUUCUCAAUUAAUUGAACAAAGAGUAAAAGCUAAUUAUAUUGUUCGAUUAAGCCCCGAGAGUGUAAAUUUGGAACGAAUCGAUGUCAACGUUCACAAGAACCAAAGCCGGAACAACAUUAGACUACUCAGUUGCGCCCUAACAGUAUAACUUUGCAAUGAGUACUUUUUCUCAUUUAAUCGAACAAAGAGUAAAACCUAAUUAAAUUGUUCGAUUAAGCCCCGAGAGUGUAAAGUUGGAACGAAUAGAUGUCAACGUUCACACAAACCAAAAUCGGAACAACAUUAGACUACUCACUUACACCCUAACAGUAUAAAUUUGCAACCAGUACUUUUUCUCAUUCUAUCGAACAAAGAGAAAAAGCUAAUUAUAUUGUUCUAUUAUGCCCCGAGAGUGUAAAUUUGGAACGAAUUGAUGUAAAUGUUCACAAGAAUCAAAACCGGAACCACAUUAGACUACUCACUUGCGCCCUAACAGUAUAACAUCGCAACAACUACUUUUUCUCAUUCAAUCGAAAAAAUAGUAAAACCUAAUUAUAUUGUUCUAUUAAGCCCCGAGAGUGUAAAGUUGGAACGAAUCGAUGUCAACGUUCACAAAAACCAAAACCGAAACAACAUUAGACUACUCAGUUGCGCCGAAACAGUAUAACUUUGCAACGAGUACUUUUUCUCAUUCAAUAGAACAAAGAGUAAAACCUAAUUAUAUUUUUCUAUUAAGCUCCGAGAGUAUAAAUUUGGAACGAAUCGAUGUCAACGUUCACAAGAACCAAAACCGGAACAACUUUAGAUUACACUGUUCCGCCCAACCAGUAUAACUUUACAACGAGUACUUUUUUUCAUUCAAUCAAACAAAGUGUAAAACCAAAUUAUAUUGUUCUAUUAUGCCCCGAGAUAGUAAAAUUGGAACGAAUCGAUGUCAACGUUGACAAGAACCAAAAUCGGAACAACAGAAGACUACUUACUUGCGCCCUAACAGUAUAAAUUUGCAACGAGUACUUUUUCUCAUUCUAUCGAACAAAGAGUAAAAGCUUAUUAUAUUGUUCUAUUAUGCCCCGAGAGUGUAAAUUUGGAACGAAUCGAUGUCAAAGUUCAC
rnacentral:lncRNA from 1 species